ACACAGAGCUGAAGAAGCUUCUCAUGUCAUAGCUACACAAAAGGCAUUACUAUUUUACUUCUUGUUUUGCAGUCUCAGAACAUGUAAUGGAGUAGAAAGAAGAAA